CAAACAUAUAAAAUAUUUUCCUGCCCCAUGUAUAAAAUAAAUGGCUGCGGUAUCCUAACCGUACAAAGGUAGCAUAAUAAAUUGCCCAUUAAUUGUGGGAUAGAAUGAACGGAAUAAUGAGAAAGAAACUAUAUCAUCAGUAUAAAAAAAAAUUAUCACUUAAGUGAAGAGACUUAAAUAAAACUACAGGACAAGAAGACCCUAUAGAGCUUAAAUUAAACCAUUUACCAAAUUACUCCAUUUAGGUUGGGGCGACCGAAAAUAAAAACAUUUAAAAUACAAAGAUAUACAUAUCUAAAAUAAAGAUCCUACAAUAGAUCAAAGAACAAAGUUACCUUAGGGAUAACAGGCUAAUCCUAUUAAAAAGUCCAUAUUUACAAUAGGGAUUGGCACCUCGAUGUUGGCUUAGAGCAACUUUAACUAGCGCAGCAGCUAUAAAAGUAGGUUUGUUCAACCUAUAAA
rnacentral:rRNA from 1 species